AGACUCUAUGAGGAAAGAAAAUUAUAUCCCAAUAUCUUUCAUGAACAUAGAUACUAAAAUUCUCAACAAAAUAUUAGCAAACCAAAUACAGCAAUACAUUAAAAAGAUCAUAUUCCAUGAUCAAGUGGCAUUUAUUACUGGGAUGAAAGGUUGGUACAAUAUUUACAAAUCAAUCAAUA